GACGAGCGCUGGCGGCGUGCUUAACACAUGCAAGUCGAACGAUGAAGCCUAGCUUGCUAGGUGGAUUAGUGGCGAACGGGUGAGUAAUACGUGAGUGACCUACCUUUGACUCUGGGAUAAGCCUGGGAAACUGGGUCUAAUACCGGAUACGACCAAUCUCCGCAUGGGGUGUUGGUGGAAAGCGUCAUGGAGUGGUUUUAGAUGGGCUCACGGCCUAUCAGCUUGUUGGUGAGGUAAUGGCUUACCAAGGCGACGACGGGUAGCCGGCCUGAGAGGGUGACCGGCCACACUGGGACUGAGACACGGCCCAGACUCCUACGGGAGGCAGCAGUGGGGAAUAUUGCACAAUGGGCGCAAGCCUGAUGCAGCGACGCCGCGUGAGGGAUGACGGCCUUCGGGUUGUAAACCUCUGUUAGCAUCGAAGAAGCGAAAGUGACGGUAGGUGCAGAGAAAGCGCCGGCUAACUACGUGCCAGCAGCCGCGGUAAUACGUAGGGCGCGAGCGUUGUCCGGAAUUAUUGGGCGUAAAGAGCUUGUAGGCGGUUGGUCGCGUCUGCUGUGAAGGCUGGGGCUUAACCCUGGUUUUGCAGUGGGUACGGGCUAACUAGAGUGCAGUAGGGGAGACUGGAAUUCCUGGUGUAGCGGUGGAAUGCGCAGAUAUCAGGAGGAACACCGAUGGCGAAGGCAGGUCUCUGGGCUGUAACUGACGCUGAGAAGCGAAAGCAUGGGGAGCGAACAGGAUUAGAUACCCUGGUAGUCCAUGCCGUAAACGUUGGGCACUAGGUGUGGGGGACAUUCCACGUUUUCCGCGCCGUAGCUAACGCAUUAAGUGCCCCGCCUGGGGAGUACGGCCGCAAGGCAAAAACUCAAAGAAAUUGACGGGGGCCCGCACAAGCGGCGGAGCAUGCGGAUUAAUUCGAUGCAACGCGAAGAACCUUACCAAGGCUUGACAUAUACUGGACUGCGUCAGAGAUGGCGUUUCCCUUCGGGGCUGGUAUACAGGUGGUGCAUGGUUGUCGUCAGCUCGUGUCGUGAGAUGUUGGGUUAAGUCCCGCAACGAGCGCAACCCUCGUUCUAUGUUGCCAGCACGUGAUGGUGGGGACUCAUAGGAGACUGCCGGGGUUAACUCGGAGGAAGGUGGGGAUGACGUCAAAUCAUCAUGCCCCUUAUGUCUUGGGCUUCACGCAUGCUACAAUGGCCGGUACAGAGGGUUGCGAUACUGUGAGGUGGAGCUAAUCCCUAAAAGCCGGUCUCAGUUCGGAUUGGGGUCUGCAACUCGACCCCAUGAAGUCGGAGUCGCUAGUAAUCGCAGAUCAGCAACGCUGCGGUGAAUACGUUCCCGGGCCU
rnacentral:rRNA from 1 species